rnacentral:rRNA from 1 species
AGUUGUGGGUGCUGGCAAGGUUAAGUCCUUCAGGGACGGAGCCGAAGGGAAACCGAGUGUUAACAGCGCGAAUAAGUCAGUAUCUGCAGACCCGAAACCGGGUGAUCUAUCCAUGUCCAGGUUGAAGUUGCCGUAAAAGGCAAUGGAGGACCGAACGCACAUCCGUUGAAAAGGGUGGCGAUGAGGUGUGGAUAGGGGAGAAAUUCCAAUCGAACCCGGAGAUAGCUGGUUCUCCUCGAAAUAGCUUUAGGGCUAGCCUCGUAUUAAUUCCAUGGAGGUAGAGCACUGAAUUUCCUAGGGGGCGUCAAAGUCUACCGAAGAAUAUCAAACUCCGAAUGCCAUAGGAAUGCUGUACGGGAGUCAGACUGCACGAGAUAAGUUGGGCAGUCAAAAGGGAAAGAGCCCAGACCUACAGCUAAGGUCCCAAAGUACGUGUUAAGUGGAAAAGGAUGUGGGAUUUCAGAGACAACUAGGAUGUUGGCUUAGAAGCAGCCAUACAUUCAAAGAGUGCGUAAUAGCUCACUAGUCGAGAGGUCCUGCGCCGAAAAUGUCCGGGGCUGAAACACGGCACCGAAGCUUAGGAAUGUGUUAGGAACUUUAGUUCCUUUCACGUUGGUAGAGGAGCAUUCUUACCGGGAGGAAGCAGUAUUGUAAGGUAUUGUGGACUGGUAAGAAGAGAGAAUGCCGGAAUGAGUAGCGAGAUGGAGGUGGGAAUCCUCCAGGCCGAAUAUCUAAGGUUUCCAGGGUAAAGCUGAUCUGCCCUGGGUAAGUCGGGGCCUAAGGCGAGGUCGAAAGACGUAGCCGAUGGACAACAGGUUGAGAUUCCUGUACUAUCAUAUGACAGAACUGUGGGGACACAGAGGGAAAGCCUGAGCCGGGAAAGGGAAACCCGGUGCAAGCGAAGUAGGAGCUGGACUGGCAAAUCCGUCCAGCAAUCCGAAGGCGUGACGCGUACCGAAUUCAAGUAGGGAAGCAGGUGAGCCAGCUGUCGAGAAAAGCCGCUAUUGUUCAUAUGAUACCCGUACCGUAAACCGACACAGGUGGAUGAGGAGAGAAUCCUAAGGCCGGCGGGAGAAGCAUUGUUAAGGAACUCGGCAAAAUGACCCCGUAACUUCGGGAGAAGGGGUGCCUCUGAAAGGAGGCCGCAGAGAAUAGGCUCAAGCAACUGUUUAGCAAAAACACAGGUCUAUGCGAAACCGAAAGGUGAGGUAUAUGGGCUGACGCCUGCCCGGUGCUGGAAGGUUAAGAGGAGAGGUUAGAGCAAUCGAAGCUUUGAAUUUAAGCCCCAGUAAACGGCGGCCGUAACUAUAACGGUCCUAAGGUAGCGAAAUUCCUUGUCGGGUAAGUUCCGACCCGCACGAAAGGCGUAAUGAUUUGGGCACUGUCUCAACAAUGCACCCGGUGAAAUUGAAAUACCAGUGAAGAUGCUGGUUACCUGCGCCAGGACGGAAAGACCCCAUGGAGCUUUACUCCAGCUUGAUACUGGGAUUCGAUGCUGUAUGUACAGGAUAGGUGGGAGACUGAGAAGUGAUUACGCCAGUAAUCAUGGAGUCACUGUUGGGAUACCACUCUUGCAGCAUUGGGUUUCUAACCUGCGCCCGUGACCCGGGCGGGGGACAAUGUCUGGCGGGGAGUUUGACUGGGGCGGUCGCCUCCGAAAGGGUAUCGGAGGCGCUCAAAGGU